rnacentral:rRNA from 1 species
CACUUCUAAGGAAGGCAGCAGGCGCGCAAAUUACCCAAUCCUGACUCAGGGAGGUAGUGACAAGAAAUAACAAUAAACCGGCUUAUGCCGGUUUAAUUGGAAUGAGUACAAUUUAAACAUCUUAACGAGGAACAAUUGGAGGGCAAGUCUGGUGCCAGCAGCCGCGGUAAUUCCAGCUCCAAUAGCGUAUACUAAAGUUGUUGCAGUUAAAAAGCUCGUAGUUGGAUUUCUGUGGGGACGGAGCGGCCGGCCGCACAUCGCGGUUCGAGCUAGCGCUUUCCCUACAUCCUGCCGCGAACCGUGCUACCAUUAGUUUGGUGGCGCCGGGGAUCGGCUCGAUUACUUUGAGAAAAAUAGAGUGUUCAAAGCAGGCCACAUGCCUUGAAUAAGUUAGCAUGGAAUAAUAACUAAGGACUUCGGUUCUAUUUUGUUGGUGUUCGGGACUGAAGUAAUGAUUGAUAGGGACAGUUGGGGCGGUCUGUAUUCCAAAGCGAGAGGUGAAAUUCUUAGACCUUCGGAAGACAAACAGCUGCGAAAGCGUUCCGCAAGGAUGUUCCCUUUGAUCAAGAACGAAAGUUGGGGGAUCGAAGACGAUCAGAUACCGUCGUAGUCUCAACUAUAAACUAUACCAGCUAGGGAUCGGCCAACGUUAUUUUAUACCGACUUGGUCGGCACCUUAUGAGAAAUCAAAGCAUCUGGGUUCCGGGGGGAGUAUGGUCGCAAGGCUGAAACUUAAAGGAAUUGACGGAAGGGCACCACCAGCCGUGGAGCCUGUGGCUUAAUUUGACUCAACACGGGAAAACUUACCAGGUCCAGACAUAGUAAGGAUUGACAGAUUGAUAGCUCUUUCUUGAUUCUGUGGGUGGUGGUGCAUGGCCGUUCUUAGUUGGUGGAGUGAUUUGUCUGGUUGAUUCCGUUAACGAACGAGUCCCCAGCCUGCUAAAUAGCGCGUGUGAGCUUUGCUCGCAGCGAGCUUCUUAGAGGGACUAUGAUGCGCGAUAGCACAUGGAAGUUUGGGGCAAUAACAGGUCUGUGAUGCCCUUAGAUGUUCUGGGCCGCACACGGGCUACACUGGCGCCUGCAACGAGCAUAUCAGCUGGCCCGAGAGGGUCUUGGCUAAUCUUUUGAACCGGCGCCGUGCUUGGGAUUGACCUUUGCAAUUGUUGGUCAUGCAACGAGGAAUGCCUUGUAAACGCGAGUCAUCAGCUCGCAUUGAAUACGUCCCUGCCCUUUGUACACACCGCCCGUCGCUCCUACCGAUGAAUGUUCCGAUGAAAUUUUCGGAGAGCACCUGUGAACUUGGCUCUGCCUUGCGAACGGGAGGCUCAAAGUCACUUAAAUCUGAACAUUUCGA